CUCACAUCACAUCACAUGGAUGUCAUUGUUGAAAGGGCAUGUGAGUGUAAUUUACGUAUAAAUUUAAGUGCGGCAAUACAAAGUGCUUUCCUUGAAAUCUUUUCUAACCGUUAGAUUACUGAAGGUGUAAAUCUUUUGAUGCACCCUCAAUUAGCCAAUAAAAUCUAUAUUCAAACUCAGAUACCAAGCGCCUGUUCAUUGUUUCUCCAAUCGCUCUCCGGUGUCUUGCUUGAGUCUUUGACGGAAAGUGCUCGACGUCUCCGGCUGAAAUACGACAAUGGCGACAACUUCGGAUGCUUCUAAUCGGCUACCAAUACACAGUUCGCACAAUUGAAUUGGAAUGCUUAAGGCAAUGCCACUGGGUCAGGUUUAAUUCUUUUUAGCUAAUAAAUUAUUUGUCUGUUUGUUUUGGUUAUUCCCGUUAAACUCUCAUCUUCUUUUGUUCUAGUUUACUGUUAAAUCUCUUGUCAGUUAACACCAAAUGCUCAAUUUGCCUGUUGAUUUGAAUAAUCUAUAUUUGUUAUGUUAUUUGAUUAUU